ensembl:lncRNA
AUCCUGUCACGUUUGAUAGACCAAUCACAGCACAGUUGCUGAGUCCAACCAGCCAAUCAGAACACACCGGCGGAGUCACGAGAGCUCAUCGAGGAAUCAAAACAAAUCUGUCAAGAGGCGAGUGGAAGAUGUGUGAAUGAUUGUAUUUCUCUGUCGAGUUUCUCCCGCUGAAGUGCACGUCAGCAUCCAGAAGAGAUGGAGGCGACGGGAUCCGGCUCCGGAGCCGAGGCCGAGGAGGCCCAGAACCACACGGCCAUGCUGUGGAGCAUCCAGGAGGCGGUUCAGAGGCAGACGCUGCAGAUCGGGGCCUCGGCGUGCGGAGCCACAGCGGUGGUGGACGUCCUGCAGGCGCUGGGCAUCACGGUGACCCCGGAGACGGUGGAUCACUGCGUCCGGACGAGUCUGAGGAGGAACGAGGCGCCGCUGCAUGAUUACCUGCACUCCCGCAGCAAGGCCGGGGCCACACACCUGCAGCUGGUCUCCGGGGCCGAGCAGGCCAGCGGGGGCAGUGUUGUGGGCCGCUUCUUUGGGCUGUAUCCGCGGCGGAGGCUGAAGCUGGUGCCGUGGCUGGCGCGCUGGAUUCGGCGCGGAGCGGUUCCCAUCGCCACCAUGAACAUGCAGCGGGCCGUUCCUGAAGGAGAAGAGAUUCCGGACGCCUGGCAUCACCAGCUCAUCUUCGGAGUGGCCCCCGGGGCUGUGUUCAUGACCAACCCGCUGGACGUGGUGAGUGAAGAGGAGGUUCACGAGCGUCUGUGCAGCGAGUCUGUGCUGCUCGUCCGCCGUCAGGACGUUCUGAAGAGACUGACGCCGGACGCUCAUCUAUCACAGAUCUCAGACCAGCAUCCCGACCCGCGCUGGAGAGCGUUAAACGUGGAGGAUCAGGUCAGACAGAUGAUCAGCGAGGAAGAGCAUCCUAAGACCACGCAUCUCGUGAUUCCCGCGGCGUACAGCUCCGGAGUGACUUUCUUCGCCCGGAGGGACUCUGGCGUGGCUCAGGAGCUCCUCAGCAGCACGGAUCUGCCCCUGAUGUGA